CGGGUGAGUAACGCGUGGGGAACCUGCCGUAUGCAGGGGGACAACAGUCAGAAAUGACUGCUAAUACCGCAUAAGCGCACAAAACCGCAUGGUUUGGUGUGAAAAACUGAGGUGGUAUGAGAUGGACCUGCGUCUGAUUAGCUAGUUGGAGAGGUAACGGCUCACCAAGGCAACGAUCAGUAGCCGACCUGAGAGGGUGACCGGCCACAUUGGGACUGAGACACGGCCCAAACUCCUACGGAAGGCAGCAG
rnacentral:rRNA from 1 species